GAUGAACGCUGGCGGCGUGCCUAAUACAUGCAAGUCGAGCGAAUGGAUUAAGAGCUUGCUCUUAUGAAGUUAGCGGCGGACGGGUGAGUAACACGUGGGUAACCUGCCCAUAAGACUGGGAUAACUCCGGGAAACUGGGGCUAGUACCGGAUAACAUUUUGAACCGCAUGGUUCGAAAUUGAAAGGCGGCUUCGGCUGUCACUUAUGGAUGGACCCGCGUCGCAUUAGCUAGUUGGUGAGGUAACGGCUCACCAAGGCAACGAUGCGUAGCCGACCUGAGAGGGUGAUCGGCCACACUGGGACUGAGACACGGCCCAGACUCCUACGGGAGGCAGCAGUAGGGAAGCUUCCGCAAUGGACGAAAGUCUGACGGAGCAACGCCGCGUGAGUGAUGAAGGCUUUCGGGUCGUAAAACUCUGUUGUUAGGGAAGAACAAGUGCUAGUUGAAUAAGCUGGCACCUUGACGGUACCUAACCAGAAAGCCACGGCUAACUACGUGCCAGCCGCCGCGGUAA
rnacentral:rRNA from 1 species